rnacentral:sRNA from 1 species
UCACAUUAUCCCACUAGGUGGGGUCGGC